rnacentral:rRNA from 1 species
AUCUGGCUCACAAUCAUGUUAUACGGCGCGCCUAACACAUGCAAGUCGAACGAGAAAGCAGGGGCAACUCUGUGAGUAAAGUGGCGUACGGGUGAGUAACACGUGGAUCAUCUACCUCUUUGUGGGGGAUAACCCUGGGAAACCGGAGCUAAUACCGCAUAAGUCCGAGAGGAGAAAGCAGCAAUGCGCAGAGAGAGGAGUCCGCGGCCGAUUAGUUAGUUGGCAGGGUAAAGGCCUACCAAGACUGAGAUCGGUAGCCGGCCUGAGAGGGCACACGGCCACACUGGCACUGAAACACGGGCCAGACUCCUACGGGAGGCAGCAGUGGGGAAUCUUGCACAAUGGGGGCAACCCUGAUGCAGCGACGCCGCGUGAGCGAUGAAGCCCUUCGGGGUGUAAAGCUCUUUCGGCAGGGAAGAUUAUGACGGUACCUGCAGAAGCAGCUGCGGCUAACUACGUGCCAGCAGCCGCGGUAAUACGUAGGCAGCAAGCGUUGUUCGGAGUUACUGGGCGUAAAGGGUGUGUAGGCGGUUCUCUAAGUUUGGUGUGAAAUCUCCCGGCUCAACUGGGAGGGUGCGCCGAAAACUGGGGGGCUAGAGUACUGGAUGGGAGAGUGGAAUUCCUGGUGUAGCGGUGAAAUGCGCAGAUAUCAGGAGGAACACCGGUGGCGAAGGCGGGUCUCUGGGCAGUAACUGACGCUGAGGAGCGAAAGCGUGGGGAGCGAACAGGAUUAGAUACCCUGGUAGUCCACGCCGUAAACGGUGGGUACUAGGUGUGGGUUUCCUUCCUUGGGAUCCGUGCCGUAGCUAACGCAUUAAGUACCCCGCCUGGGGAGUACGGCCGCAAGGCUAAAACUCAAAGGAAUUGACGGGGGCCCGCACAAGCGGCGGAGCAUGUGGAUUAAUUCGAUGCAACGCGAAGAACCUUACCUGGGUUUGACAUGCACAGGACGCCGGCAGAGAUGUCGGUUCCCUUGUGGCCUGUGUGCAGGUGGUGCAUGGCUGUCGUCAGCUCGUGUCGUGAGAUGUUGGGUUAAGUCCCGCAACGAGCGCAACCCUUGUCUCAUGUUGCCAGCACGUGAUGGUGGGGACUCGUGAGAGACUGCCGGGGUCAACUCGGAGGAAGGUGGGGAUGACGUCAAGUCAUCAUGCCCCUUAUGUCCAGGGCUUCACACAUGCUACAAUGGCCGGUACAAAGGGCUGCGAUGCCGUGAGGUGGAGCGAAUCCUUUCAAAGCCGGUCUCAGUUCGGAUCGGGGUCUGCAACUCGACCCCGUGAAGUCGGAGUCGCUAGUAAUCGCAGAUCAGCAAUGCUGCGGUGAUACGUUCCCGGCCAUGUACUCACCGC